rnacentral:lncRNA from 1 species
CACAAGGAAUCGUAUGGCUAUCAGGAACCAGCAAAUUAGACUCACAUGUAAUGUGAGAGCUAGGUUCACUUCCCUGAACCCGGAUAGAUUUUCAGUCUAAUGUAAAAGAAGAGUACUAGGUUGCUCAAAAUGACCCUCCAAAAAUAAUUAAUUUUAACGAAUAAGACCAUGACACUACAUAUGUAGAAUGCCCAAUAUACCCUUCAAUUGACAAGUUUACCAUAUGAUUACGAGAUAAAAUGAAAAUACUCAUCUAUUUAAAAAAUUCGCAACUAACAAACAUUAAACAUCCUUAGUUCCUCACGAGUGUACAAUUUACCAUACUAAACAUGUCUAUUUAAACCAAAAAAAAAGGGAAAUAAGAAAGAAAACCAAUAAGAUUUAAGUGACUUUGAGAACAUAAAAGAUCCUGUGUCUAGAUAUAAAACAAAUAUAUGCCGACAGGAAUAUCAAGAUUGCCAUGGAAGGUUGUGUGAUGAACGUUUAAGACUAACAGCAGACUAUUUGAGAGUGACAAAGACAGUAAACAUUGACCAAAAUGCCAGGAAAAAAAUUGCAGCCAGUGCCGACAAGUUUAUGCUUCCCUCUUAACAAACUAGCCAUUACGGUCUAAACCAGAGCCGCUACCUUUCUUUGGAAUGGCAAUUAUUGAACUAACUGUUCAGGCUUCUUCAUCUAUCAUUCUUGCAAGAAUUUUGGCAGUUUUUAAGUGUUGGGAAUAGCAAAAGAAAGAUGAGAAUUUGGCAGAAUUUGGGUGGUUUCUUGAAUGCUGCAAGAUGUUUGAUGAGUAAUUUGGCUUUUAAUGAGGAAUGAGUGCACUAAAUUUUGAGAGUAGACACAAACCACCACAGACUGGCCAGCAGUAAUAAUUUGGAACAUGUCUCAACGUAUGACUCUUGUUGCUAUAGUUUGAAUAUGAAUCUUAAAACCUAAUCAGGUCAGAAAAUACAAAUCAGAUAUACAGUUUCAACUCUACAAGAGUAUAUAGAAUAGCAAAUACAAUAUCUAUUUUUUUGGUAAAAAAUGAAAAGCAAAAAGACAGUCCAAAUCUUAAAAGUUCAAACGCAAUUUCUGAUAAAGAGAACAAUGAAUAAAAAUAUUUACCUGUGCAUAUUGCUGGCGUCAAAGAAACUUCCUUUACUAGCAAUACUUACUUUUAAACACAACCAAACAUGCUAAAACUCUUCGUGUGGUGUGUUCCAUGCAGUGCAUAAAUUUACAAAGAGAAAUAAACAAUGCGGAACAGGCUCAGAGGAUCCAUUGGUUUCUUAUAAUCAAGGGAAAGAACUCCCCUCAGAAAAUAGGUAGUUCUUAAUCAUCACAGCCCAUUAAGGAGGAAAUAAAAAGAACAGAUCAUAAAAAAUAAAAAAAAAAAAAAAAAAAAAAAUUCAAAAAAUGUAAAUUAAAUUUUGGGAAAAACGGACUUCCUGGAACCCAGAUAGAUUUUCAGUCUAAUGUAAAAGAAGAGUACUAGUUUGCUCAAAAUGAACCUCCAAAAAUAAUUUAUAUUUUAAUGAAUACUAAGACCACGACACUACGUAUAUAGAAUGCACAAUAUACCCUUCAAUUGACAAGUUUACCAUAUGAUUAUGAGAUAACAUGAAAAUACUUGUCUAUUUCAAAAAUUCGCAUCAUUUUCAGUGACAGCAUCUUUAGUAUCUUGAACAGAACAUGCCACUAACAAACAUCAUGCUUAGUUCCUC